UGCAGUCGAACGAUGAAGCUGGAGCUUGCUCUGGUGGAUUAGUGGCGAACGGGUGAGUAACACGUGAGUAACCUGCCCUUGACUCUGGGAUAAGCGUUGGAAACGACGUCUAAUACCGGAUACGAGCUUCAGCCGCAUGGCUAGGAGCUGGAAAGAAUUUUGGUCAAGGAUGGACUCGCGGCCUAUCAGCUUGUUGGUGAGGUAAUGGCUCACCAAGGCGACGACGGGUAGCCGGCCUGAGAGGGUGACCGGCCACACUGGGACUGAGACACGGCCCAGACUCCUACGGGAGGCAGCAGUGGGGAAUAUUGCACAAUGGGCGAAAGCCUGAUGCAGCAACGCCGCGUGAGGGACGACGGCCUUCGGGUUGUAAACCUCUUUUAGCAGGGAAGAAGCGAAAGUGACGGUACCUGCAGAAAAAGCACCGGCUAACUACGUGCCAGCAGCCGCGGUAAUACGUAGGGUGCAAGCGUUGUCCGGAAUUAUUGGGCGUAAAGAGCUCGUAGGCGGUUUGUCGCGUCUGCUGUGAAAACGCGAGGCUCAACCUCGCGCCUGCAGUGGGUACGGGCAGACUAGAGUGCGGU
rnacentral:rRNA from 1 species